GCCGGUGUGGUGUAGUGGUUUAGGCACUGAACUAUGACUUUGGAGACCAGGGUUCGAAUCCUCACUCGGCCA